rnacentral:lncRNA from 1 species
GUGAACAAGCACUUAGUCUUGUGGAUACCUUAAUCCGUAGUGGUUCAGUUGACAUAAUUGUUGUUGACAGUGUAAGUAUGCAGCUCCCUUUUGAUUUAAUUAAUACUCUCCUUGGUUCCCAUUGUAACUUGUCUAGGAUUAUAUCGGUAGUGGUGGCUGCACUUAAGUCCUUAUCUAUUAUAGGAUUUGCCAAGUCAGUAUAAGAACUAGAAAUUUUCACCAAUAGAAUAUGAUUUUAGCCAGUAUUAUCAUUUAGUUCUACUUAGUUAUGGUAAUAACUCAAAAUAGCCUUCUUAUAAAAAGAUUCAUCAGCACUAGAAAUUUUUUGAUUGAUUCUGUUUUUAUUCAUGUUCAAAGAUAUAUGCUUCUACUUGUAUUAUAUAGCAUUUCUUCUACUUAAAAGCACAUAUUGCUGAUUUUCUUCUAGCAGUAGUUUUCAUUGCAUUGCACAUAACUUUGACAAAACAAUACAAGAUUUUCUGCAUUAGGUUAAAAAAUAAAAGAGUUUAUUUAUUAUAUUUAUGUUUAUUAUGAAUUUUUAUUUAUAAAUUAUUUUAUUUUAAAAUAUUUUAUAAAAUUUUAAAGAAUUUAAAAAAAAUAAAUUAUUCUUCGUUAUAAACAUGUUUAUUAUAAUUUUUUUUAAGUUUUAAAAACUGUUUUAACAUUCUUAUGCACUAAUAGCUCUUAGGUUUCAUAGAAUCUGAUUGACCAAUAAUUUUAAUAAAAAAAAAUUUAGUUCAUUUUGCUUGACCCGUUGCCCAUUGAGAAACAGUUCAAACGAAAGAGGAUAGCCUUGAAAUUAGUAACCAUAUUUUUUUUUUGUUAAUUAAGGGGCAGGGUUCAGGCCCGGGUUUGAUCCAUCGGCGCCUCAGAACAGUGCAGGAGUUGCUGAGUGAUGAGCGGAUAAUUUAUACGCUUUUUGGCAUUGUUUUUACAUAGUUUUUAGUAUGAUUUAGUUAGUUUUUAAUAUAUUUUUAUUAGUUUUUAAAUAAAAAUCACAUUUCUGGACUUUACUAUGAGUUUGUGUAUUUUUCUGUGAUUUCAGGUAAUUUCUGGUUGAAAUUGUGGGACUUGAGCAAAAAUCUGAUUCAGAGGCUGAAGAAGGACUGCAGAUGCUGUUGGAUUCUGACCUCCCUGCACUCGAAGUGAAUUUUCUGGAGCUACAAAAAUCCAAUUGGUACGCUCUCAAUUGCGUUAGAAAGUAGACAUCCAGGGCUUUCCAGAAAUAUAUAAUAGUCCAUACUUUUUCCUAGUUUAGACAACGCAAACUGGCGAUUAACACCAGCUUUCUGCCCUAUUCUGGCGUUAAACGCCAGAAACAAGUUGCAAAGCAGAGUUAAACGCCAGAAACAAGUUACAAACUGGCGUUUAACUCCAAGGAAGACCUCUACACAUGAAAGCUUCAAUGCUCAGUCCAAGCAUACACCAAGUGGGCCCGGAAGUGGAUUUCUGCAUCAUUUACUUAUCUCUGUAAACCCUAG